UGAUAGGUUCAGGUUAUGUAUCUGUAUAU
rnacentral:piRNA from 1 species